rnacentral:rRNA from 1 species
UGCCAGCCGCCGCGGUAAUACGGAGGGUGCAACCGUUAAUCGGAAUUACUGGGCGUAAAGCGCGCGUAGGCGGUUAAGCAAGUCAGAUGUGAAAGCCCCGGGCUCAACCUGGGAACUGCAUUUGAAACUGUUUGGCUAGAGUGAGUGAGAGGUUAGUGGAAUUCAAGGCGUAGCGGUGAAAUGCGUAGAGGUCUUGAGGAACAUCAGUGGCGAAGGCGACUAACUGGACUGAUACUGACGCUGAGGUGCGAAAGUGUGGGGAGCAAACAGGAUUAGAUA